rnacentral:rRNA from 1 species
GCUUGUCUCAAAGAUUAAGCCAUGCAUGUCUAAGUAUAAAUAUCUAUACUGUGAAACUGCGUAUGGCUCAUUAAAUCAGUUAUAGUUUAUUUGAUGAUACCCCACUACAUGGAUAACCGUAGUAAUUCUAGAGCUAAUACAUGCGUCAAAUCCCGACUUUUUGGAAGGGAUGUAUUUAUUAGAUAAAAAACCAAUCGUAGCGAUACGUUUUUUGGUGAAUCAUGAUAACUUUUCGAAUCGCACGACAUUGUUGGCGAUGGUUCAAUCAAAUUUCUGCCCUAUCACCUUUCGAUGGUAGUAUAGAGGACUACCAUGGGUAUAACGGGUAACGGAGAAUUAGGGUUCGAUUCCGGAGAGGGAGCCUGAGAAACGGCUACCACAUCCAAGGAAGGCAGCAGG